GGAGAGAUUAGAGGAGGCUAUGCUCAUCUGUGGGGCACAGUAGUCAGGACCAGGGAUGAGCUCCACCAUGGCUUGGUCCCCUCUCCUCCUCACCCUCCUUGCUCACUUCACAGGGUCCUGGUCCCAGUCUCUGCUGUCUCAGCCAUCCUCCAUGUCUGGGGCCCUGGGCCAGAAGGUCACCGUCUCCUGCACUGGAAGCAGCUCCAACAUUGGGGGUGGAUGGAAUGUGAACUGGAUCCAACAGCUGCCAGGAAAAGUCCCCAGAACCGUCAUCUAUAGUAAUAACAACCGACCAUCGGGGAUCCCGGAUCGAUUCUCUGGCUCCAGGUCUGGCAGCUCAGGCACCUUGACCAUCACUGGGCUCCAGGCUGAGGGCGAGGCAGAUUAUUACUGCACAUCAUGGGACAGCAGUCUCAGUGCUCACACAGUGCUCCAGUCAUGA